GGGCGCGGCGCCCCGGGAGCUAUGAGGCGCCUCGGCCUCGCCGCCGCCGCCGUUCCCCCGCCGUCCGCCGCUUUCUCCGCCGCCUCCCGCGACUGCGAGGAGAGGUUGGAGGCCGGCUCGGCGCUGAAGUCCUGCAGGAUCCGCAGCGGAUCACAACAAAUAGGGAAAACUGGUUCUUGAAGAGAAACUGGCAUCUGACGCUAGCUCGGAUUAAAUAAUAACAAUAAUAAAAAAAAAAAAA